GUACCCAGCAAAUUUCUAUCUAGACCCAGCAAACUUUUUACCCUCAGUUAAAAAAUUAAAUUUGUAGUUAUACCCAGCAAUUUUUCCAACAAUACCCUUUUUAACUUGCACCCUGCAAAUCUCACUCUCACGCCCAAAACUCACACCCAGCGAACUCGACAUCAAUGAGGGUCGCGCCAAGCUCGUUCUCCAACUGAGAGGAACUCGUGCAGAGCAUCAUUAUAGAGGACGGACUCGGUGCCGAGUUGAGGAAAAAGAAGCGCAGUCUCAAACUCAAGAAUAUCUCCAUCUUAGACUUCGUGGGUCAUCGCUAUUUCCUUCGCUCUCACCCCCGACUUUGAAGUUUGUGUGCAGGAAACUUGGAAGUCAGCUGAUGUUUUUCCAAGUAGACUUGCCCUGCUCUUGGCUGCAGAGAGUUGUCCCGAAUCAAAACUGUGUGUAUGGCUAGAGGUUCUAAACACCAUGAUUGCCCCACAACCUCAAAGACAAAAAGGAAAUUUUGUUCUCAACCUUCUCAGUCAGAAGUGGAUGAUGGUGUACUAGAGGAUGGGGUUGAUACUGGAGAAGAACAAGCUUCUGAACCAUUUACAGAUGCAGAUGAGCCUCUAAGUGGUCCAUUUCCGGGAGGUCCUCAUGAUCCAUCGGUAUUGAAGAGCUUUAAAAGUCAUGUAGCAGCUGCUAUAUGUUGCAACACCAAUAAGGCGUGAAUCUUUUUCCAUGAUGUAUCAAAGUUGCACAGACUAGACAUCAAAUGUCGCUUCAAUUUUGAAUGAGCACUUUCCACCCUAGUUAAAAGUACAUAUGAACAGUAUGUGAAAAUUCAAGUAAAUUAUAUGAAACAAUAUGUAGUUUAUUAACAAAUAAAAAAUAUCAAUUGAAAAUUA